UUUAAUUCUGGGGAGACAGGACAUCAGGGUCCAGGUUAUGGAAAUCAGAAAAGGAGAAGGGCCCACAGAUAUGAGGUUGGAAAGGAAUGAAGGGGUGCAGAGCCCUGGAAAUUGGUGCUAAUCAAAUCCUCCGAGGCUCGGUGAGAGACGAUGACUCUGUUUCAGCGACAGUCUUGGAGUUGUGGGCGGGGGGCUGCGUCUCCCUCUCCUCCUCCCACAGGGAGGCAGGCACAGUGUUUAUUCCCAGAAAUCCCAGAGUGCUGAAGGAGGCAGGGCAUAGAUGCCUCUGUCCACUGUCCUUCCCGCACACUGAGGCUGUGUGUGUGUGUGUGUGUCCCUCGGGUCACAAAGCAGGGAAAUGAUGACUUCGUGGCCUCGGGAGAGUUCCUGCAGCUCCAGCGGGACCAGCUCAGAGGGCUUGGCAGCUGGACUUGGUGAGGAAGCCUCAGCUUCAUGUUCCAGCGCCUCAGCUGCCAGAGGCGCGAGUCAGCAGUGGGGCCUGGCCCCCACCCAGGCUGGAACUCAGCACCCCCGUGCUGAUAAGGACACACUUCAAGAUACAUGCUGCAUGGAAUGACUUCGUUAUCAAGAAAAAUCGAAAGCCGGAGUUGUCAAUCCUGACUGUGCAUUAAAACCAUCUGGAGUGCUUUGGAAACACUGAUGCCUGGUCCCCACCCCCAAACCAAUUAAACAGACUCUCCACGGGUGGGGCCUGGAGUCCCCAGGGAGAAGAGCUGAGAUCCUGGAAACAACGGGAGUUUCAACAACCCUGGGUCCUUUGAUUUCACAACCACUCUAUAGAGCCUCAUCUUCACCAAAAGAUGAAGCUUGGCUUCAGGCAGUAUCGUUUCCUCUGGCUGGACCGUCAUGCCUUCAUCAGACAGACAGACAGACAGGGAGUGUGUCUCUGUGCCAGGCCCUGUGCUGAGCAUGCGGAUGGAAUCCCUAAUCCUCACCAGGCUUCUUGUCUAGCGGAAAGCCUGGCAAGGCUGCCAGUACCCACCAUGUGCACGUGUGUGUGUUAAGUCACUUCUGUCAUGUCUGACU